UACGUAGGUGGCAAGCGUUGUCCGGAUUUACUGGGCGUAAAGGGCGUGCAGGCGGUUUGUUAGGUCUAGGGUGAAAGCUCCCGGCUCAACUGGGAGAGGUCCUUGGAUACUGGCAGACUUGAGGAGGGUAGAGGAGAGUGGAAUUCCCGGUGUAGUGGUGAUAUGCGUAGAUAUCGGGAGGAACACCAGUGGCGAAGGCGGCUCUCUGGGCCCUACCUGACGCUGAGACGCGAAAGCGUGGGGAGCGAACCGG
rnacentral:rRNA from 1 species